rnacentral:ncRNA from 1 species
GCAGAGUAAACUCAAUGCGUUAAGUGUUGUGAGAUGGGAUGUUGCUCACAAACGAAAAGCUAUGCUUGCGAUAUUGAGUUGCGUCCGUUG